rnacentral:lncRNA from 11 species
GGCAACUUUGUCUACUAGAGAGCUCUAAUGCUGUAGUUGAGAGGAAUAAAUUAGAGAUCUCACAGGAAUACAUUAUUUGAGCAUUCUGAAGAAUUAAGUCAUGACAUUGGUAUCAAACUAAUGUAACUAAUGCACAGGGGUAGGAGCUGGUCUUCCCAUCAGUGGACCGUAGACUCCUACUGACUCUUCCAAAGGACCUCUGAAUAAGUAACCCAAUUGUUGAGAGGGUAUUGUUCCCUAAAUAAUGAGCUAUUUCUUUUUGCUCCCAAUGUGGAAAAAACCAAGGAAAGCCUCUCCGUCCCCAAACUAUGAAAACACAAACAACAGAACUCAAUAGUUCUACACCAAGAAUCAAAGGCAGGAAGUAAUCCGAGUUGGCAGAGAUCCAAACAAGAUGUAGCAAUUUCAGCAA